rnacentral:rRNA from 1 species
UAGGGAAUCUUCGGCAAUGGGGGCAACCCUGACCGAGCAACGCCGCGUGAGUGAAGAAGGUUUUCGGAUCGUAAAGCUCUGUUGUAAGAGAAGAACGUGUGUGAGAGUGGAAAGUUCACACAGUGACGGUAACUUACAGAAAGGGACGGCUAACUACGUGCCAG